rnacentral:rRNA from 1 species
UACGAAGGGGGCUAGCGUUGCUCGGAAUCACUGGGCGUAAAGGGUGCGUAGGCGGGUCUUUAAGUCAGGGGUGAAAUCCUGGAGCUCAACUCCAGAACUGCCUUUGAUACUGAGGAUCUUGAGUUCGGGAGAGGUGAGUGGAACUGCGAGUGUAGAGGUGAAAUUCGUAGAUAUUCGCAAGAACACCAGUGGCGAAGGCGGCUAUCUGGUCCAAUUCUGACGCUGAGGCGCGAAAGGUAGGGGAGCAAACAGG